AACGAACGCUGGCGGCAUGCCUAACACAUGCAAGUCGAACGAGACCUUCGGGUCUAGUGGCGCACGGGUGCGUAACGCGUGGGAACCUGCCCUUAGGUUCGGAAUAACUCCCCGAAAGGGGUGCUAAUACCGGAUAAUGUCUUCGGACCAAAGAUUUAUCGCCUUUGGAUGGGCCCGCGUUGGAUUAGCUAGUUGGUAGGGUAAAAGCCUACCAAGGCGACGAUCCAUAGCUGGUCUGAGAGGAUGAUCGGCCACACUGGGACUGAGACACGGCCCAGACUCCUACGGGACGCAGCAGUGGGGAAUAUUGGACAAUGGGCGAAAGCCUGAUCCAGCAAUGCCGCGUGAGUGAUGAAGGCCUUAGGGUUGUAAAGCUCUUUUACCCGGGAUGAUAAUGACAGUACCGGGAGAAUAAGCUCCGGCUAACUCCGUG
rnacentral:rRNA from 1 species